rnacentral:misc_RNA from 1 species
GUUCUCAGACUGGAGUCUGUAGUGUGAACAGAAAUCCUGCUGAUUUUACUGUGCCAGAAUCUGGAAAUUUAUACAUGAUUUCAGGUGAAGAUCUAAAAUUUGGAAAGCUGGUUCCUUUGUCAAAUGGGAAUGGCUCAACUAAAUUGGUGGGGCGGAAGAAAAGACCGAAGAAGCUGCCUGCUGUGAAAGAACAUCGGUGACAUCUACUUUCAUGAUCAUCGCCAGUUUCAAAGCUGCAGGUAAAGCUGCAGUUGGUUUACCAGCUUCUUCAAACUGAAAAAUAUACUGGAAGCUUCACAACAGAUCAAAUGGUAAAUGACAGAAAAUAUUUGCAUGCAUGUCAAUUUUUAAUUCUGUAACCAUGAUUCCUUUGACUUCAGGUCUUGCUGAGUAAUGGAAGACAUACUAGGUGCAAGGUCGGGCUUGUAUAUACCUACAUGUGCCUUGACCAUCAAAAGUAACUUUAUAUGUAUGUCUUCUUGUAUUUUCGUAUGCUCAUUAUACGUGGUUUUGUUGAUUAUGUUAAAAGGUUAUAUAGAAGCCUGAUGCUGCCCCUAGCUCUGGAAAGGGCUUCUUUGCACUUCAGUGAAAGCAUUUGCUCCAUUCUAGAGGGGAACUUAGAAUGGAAACAAACAGCAGAAAAUUAGAUGGUAUGAUGUAGUUGAAUACCAGUGGCCUGAGAUUCAAAACAGGUUCAUCAAUAAAUCAGCAAUAAAUCAGCAGUCAAGGGUUCGCUCGUUAUUUUCAUUUUUAUAAUUCUUUAUUUAUAUAGUAUAGAAGGAAAGGUGAUACAACAACAAUAAUUAAGUUUUAAUGCAAAACUAGUUUAGGUCAGUUAUAUGGAUAAUUUUUUCAUUAUUCAACUCUGCUUGAAACUAAGUAUAGAAGGAAAGGUGAUACAUUGGCAAUUUUUGGGUUUGGAAAAUAACCCAUUUAGAUAUCAUUUCAUAAAGACAAGCAUGUCAUAUAUACCGUUGAUAUAAUGAACAUGUAUUUGAUAUGUGUUGAAGAAACUAUGCAUUGAGCACCUCUUAAAGAUUUGCUGCUUG